GCCCUAUCCGAGUGAGAUGUGACAAUCCAAACCUGCCUCCUUCUCCAUUCCUGCUGGUGUUUAGCUGAGCUUCAGACACACCAGUGGGGCAUGCCCUUCCUACCGUUAACUAUUACAUUGCUGAUAUUGGUGGUCUGAGGAAUAAACUGGGAGGAACUUGAAAAAUGCUGUCGAUCAAAAAUGCUGCCUGACCGGCUGUGCUUUUCCAGCACCACACUCUUGGCUCUGUACUCUGCAAUCACUAGGAAGGCAAAGGAAACACUACAAGGACAUCCCUGAACAUCUCAGUGGAAGGAGUGCACAGAAACCAGAGAGUCCCAUCCACACACCUCCUCAAGCACCACCUGCCCACCCUUGGGGCAAAGUCUGCACCUCCAGGAUUGGACCAUUCAACCAUCGAACCCAAACUCCCCAACCAGAGUUGAAGCAAGUUAUCCUGGAGCCUUGAGGGACUGCCAUCGAAGAAGGGCGACCAGAACAGUACAUAGUACUCCAGAAGAUGCUCACCAAUGUCCUGUAUGACAUCAACAUGAUAUCCCAACUGCUAUACUCAAAGGUAUAGGACUUACACAAAAAGGUCUUGAA